rnacentral:rRNA from 1 species
GGAAUAUUGGACAAUGGGGGGAACCCUGAUCCAGCGACGCCGCGUGAGUGAAGAAGUAUUUCGGUAUGUAAAGCUCUAGCAGCAGGGAAGAUGAUGACGGUACCUGACUAAGAAGCCCCGGCUAACUACGUGCCAGCAGCCGCGGUAAUACGUAGGGGGCAAGCGUUAUCCGGAUUUACUGGGUGUAAAGGGAGCGUAGGCGGCUAUGCAAGUCAGGUGUGAAAACCCGGGGCUUAACCCCGGGACUGCACUUGAAACUGUGUAGCUUGAGUACAGGAGAGGCAGGCGGAAUUCCUAGUGUAGCGGUGAAAUGCGUAGAUAUUAGGAAGAACACCGGUGGCGAAGGCGGCCUGCUGGACUGAGACUGACGCUGAGGCUCGAAAGCGUGGGGAGCAAACA